rnacentral:misc_RNA from 1 species
AAGCGCCAUGUUACAGUGGUUUCCCGGUUAUUAGACUCAACAUGGAUUUGUACUCAAACAACUGAAAAUAAACAAACACUGUGCACCUAUGAUGCAGCUAUUUACUAAUCAACGAACGCUUGCAGGUACAGUAAAUCAAACACAUCAGGAGGAAAUAACCAUAAAAGAGAAGACACAAGCCAACUUUAGCUAUCAACUAAGAGAACAAACAGACGAGACUUCAAAGGAAUCGGCUUUUAUAAUUGAAAUUAAGUUGUGUGAAGAUGGGACCUAUCAUGAUGCCUGCCGGUGUCGAUGGACAUCUGACAAUAAAGCCGCGUGCAACAAUCAAAGAAAUGUUUCUGUUUGUGAGGCUGACCACUCCGAAAUGCGUUUCUCCCUUUUUGUCGAGCGGACCCACAGCGGUGUCUUGUGGGAACUCUACAGAAAACAAUCGACUCUUCUUGUGUUGAAAAACACAAAAUUACAAGUCACAUACCCGGCAAAAGUGACAGGGUUGCAGGUGAAUGGAAAAGAAGCUAACGAGACGCACAUUAUUGACGAAAAAAGAAAAGUGAGCAUCUCUUGUUCCUUCACCAACGGAAAUCCUCUGGUACCUGUUCACCUGUGGGACGACACGGGGCGCGGGCAGAGUUCCACGAGUCACGGGGAGGGUCCCCUCACUCUGUCUCUCGGAGUCUUUCACUGUCACGAGGUGUGGCCGACUGUCAGGUGCGAGGCGCGGGGAUCGGAGCUCAAUCGAUCUGUCACCCUCCUCGGUAGAUGUGUUCCUAAGCUUUCACACGUUCGUUCUCAGUUUUUAGAAUUAAGUAGGGUUCUAGAAAAAGGUUUGAAACUGAGACUGAGGUCAUACACAACAAAUAUCAGGAAAUGUUUGCUGACAAAGUUGCCCCCUGAGCCAAUCUCUGGGGAAGUGACGUGUGAAUUAAGCGGAAGUGUCCCGGAGUUGACCCUAACUCUGCACCUUGCUUCAACCUUGUGGAUUGGUGAAGGGAUUUGGACAUUACAUGCCUUAACAGAACUUGGCGAUUCAAAUAUCACUUUUGUGCUCAUCAAUGGCACUGUUGGUGAUCGAGGUCCUGCAAUAAUAAACGGCAAUAACAGGACAAUGACGGAUGUGACAGAAAAACAUCAGACGAUUACAAUAGCGUGAUAACUGAGCUCGCGUCAAGGAAUACGAUUGCUCUGAAAACGAGGUUUGUAAACACAUGGCUUGUGCAUGAGAGCUGUCGGCUUUUAUGCGAAAUCACGACACCGUUCAGGGGAUCACCUGGUGAGUACCGCUGUAUUCAAAAUGAUUAUUUAUUUCAAAAUAUACUGGAAUGUUGAUCUCAGAUAGCAGACGUUGAAAAUAGUGAGUGAUAGUAAGAUGUUUCUUUAAUUUACACAAUUUUUUUUUCUCUCAGCUUAGUGAGUAAAUGUACUUUAUACUUCUCGUCGCUAUAAUGACCCACAAUGGAACACUUGAUAUACCCGACACAACAUACAACUCAAAAUCAGCCACCAUUUUAUUAUUUUAGAUAAAUACGUUAAUAAAGAUACAGAGUAACCAUCUGAAGCUGUCAAGGUUAAGUAUAAUCCGUAAAUACCUUUAGAGAACUUUGCUAUUCUGUUGUUAGUAUCUACCUUGUUUUCCCUAGCAAGUAAGCCAGUUGUGUCUGGCCAGGUGUUCUCGCUGUCACACGGAUCUUUCCCGUGACUCUGUGACCCUGGCGCUUUCUUUGCCUUCUACAGUUUCAGCUCAUGAGUUUGUCAAGCAGUCUUUCUCUCUCCUUGUUUGUAUAUCUAAAUCAGGUUUUGCGUUUGCACGUCGAUAGCAAAAUAAACCUGCAGAGGUUUGACUUGUAGAUAGGCUUAUUCUGAAUAUUCUUAAUUAAUCUCUCCUUGAGAUGAUGUAAGCAUCUGCAGGUCUAAAUGGUAAAUCCUGGAAGGUAAAAAGUGAAACUAGGCUAUAAAGACAACUGUGGUCCAUAAUUUUCUUUAGUCUUCGGGAUAUUUUCCAUAAUAAACUAGGAACAUUUUGAAAUGGUUGCAUUUGUUCUGCUUUUAACAGGCAUUGGAUAAGGAAGUACUUUGUUUAAUCUGUCUACCUAGUCACUAAAUAAGACAGCGCCAUACUGUUUCCUAGUCCAAACUUUAUCUCUUCUCAUUUCCUAUUGUUUUGACUGGGUUCUCUCGUAUCUUCGAAUCACGAUUCUUUUUCUUAUUAUUUGUAAAGCGUAAUCAGCUAGUCUGCUAGUUCAUAAAGUUAGAACUUGAAGCGAGAUAAGUGAGUUUCUUUUUUAGUAGUUAUAAACGUUUAUCAUGUGCACAGGUUUAUCGGUAUCUAAAAUGGUGCAACAUCCUAUUUUCAUGUAAUGAUCUGAUAAAGAAAAGUUAGGUACGUAAAUGCAUUUUGACCAAUGAGCUUGCAAAAACCUAUGUAAGAGACAUUUUAUUAAUACUAUUUUUUUAUAUUUUAACUUAAGAAAUAUUUCAAGCAGCUUUCAUUAUCAUGAUGAGUAUUUUAUGGUAAGAAAUAUAUUUCCCUGUUAAUUACAGGCUUGAGAUGAAAGGAAUAACGAUAUGUCUACUCCUGUUCCUUGUUCGACAAGGUAACACAGCUACAGAAUGCAACACAAUAAAAGAAAGAGCAAUACAAUGCAAAUUUACGAAUGACAUCUCUUCUACUAAAACUAGCUUUGCAGUAUAUUUUCUAUCACAAGAUGGGAAAAAAGAGCUGCUGAUUGACUGUGUAUGGGUGGACGACAAGCUUGAGUGCAUCGAGCAGAUAGGUUUUGAGUGCCAGCAGCCGGUGUCAAACAUUGCUGAGAUCAGCGUGCCUCCACGAUUUACAAGCAAACCUGGAUCAUACUUAUGUCUACUUGAAGGUCACAUCACCCAAGACUCCAAACCCUGUCAUUUUUUCGAAAACCAGCAUAAGAACCAAACCGAAUUAGUUGAGGACAACGUAGACGUAAGCCACCCUGAUCAAAAAGAAAAAGGCAUUUCUACAACAACGAUUUUCGCCAUCUCUGGAACUCUGUUAGGAUGUGUUGCCAUUGGCAUUGUGACUGUGAUACUGGUUAGGCGAUGGAAGACGAAAAAUUAUUUAAAACAUGAACGUGAGAAAUCCUAUCAAUUCAGCAAAAUUGACAUUAUGGACAUGGAUUCACGGCUGGCAGACGAAAGAGGUCGUAUGCAUGCAAUGGACAGAACGUCAAGCCACUUUCUGUGAACUAUAAUAAAAAAACAACAGGCUAUGCUAGAGAAAAUUAUGAAUUAAAUAAUCAAAAACUUUCUUUAGAAUUAUAUCCUGCAAUAUUCCAGGUAACCUUUAUUACUUUUUAAAUGACUUUCUUUUCAAUUUUAUUUUAGUAAUGCAUUGUAAGCACAUUACUCCAUGUAACUGAAUCACAUUUGCAUAGUGAAAAAUAUUCAAUAUCUAAAAAUUUAGCUCUUUACUGGGUGAUAUUGGAAGUUCUCUCAAUCAUCUUUCUUCCGAACUAAGCUAGAAUAACUAGUAACAGACACAUAUAUAAUCACACAGAACUCAGCCAGCAUCUUAUGUGUGUGUGUGUCGAGUAGCAGAGGCUAUGCUCAGACAUAGCGUCUCGUGUGUGUGCAUAUAGAGUAGUAGAGGCUAUGGAGCUUUGACCUAGUCAGUCUCCUGUGUGUAUAUAGAGUAGUCGAGGCUAUGCUCAGACAUAGCAUCUCGUGUGUGUGUGUGUAUAGAGUAGUAGAGGCUAUGCUCCGACAUAGCAUCUCGUGUGUGUGUGUGUAGAGUAGUAGAGGCUAUGCUCCGACAUAGCAUCUCGUGUGUGUGUAUAUAGAGUAGUCGAGGCCCUUGAGCUUUGACCUAGUCAGUCUCCUGUGUGUAUAUAGAGUAGUCGAGGCUAAGCUCCGACAUAGCAUCUCGUGUGUGUGUAUAUAGAGUAGUCGAGGCCCUUGAGCUUUGACCUAGUCAGUCUCCUGUGUGUAUAGAGUAGUCGAGGCUAUGCUCCGACAUAGCAUCUCGUGUGUGUGUAUAUAGAGUAGUCGAGGCCCUUGAGCUUUGACCUAGUCAGUCUCCUGUGUGUAUAUAGAGUAGUCGAGGCUAAGCUCCGACAUAGCAUCUCGUGUGUGUGUGUAGAGUAGUAGAGGCUAUGCUCCGACAUAGCAUCUCGUGUGUAUGUAUAUAGAGUAGUCGAGGCCCUUGAGCUUUGACCUAGUUAGUCUCCUGUGUGUAUAGAGUAGUCGAGGCUAUGCUCCGACAUAGCAUCUCGUGUGUGUGUGUGUAGAGUAGUAGAGGCUAUGCUGAGACAUUGCAUCUCGUGUGUGUGUGUGUAGAGUAGUAGAGGCUAAGCUCCGACAUAGCAUCUCGUGUGUGUGUGUGUAUAUAGAGUAGUAGAGGCUAUGCUCCGACAUAGCGUCUCGUGUGGGUGUAUAGAGUAGCAUUGGCUACCCAGCUCAGACAUAGCGUAUUUUGUGUGUGUGUGUGUAGAGUAGCAAUGGCUACCAAUCUCCGUCUUAGUCAUCAUAUUGUUUAUGUGUGCGUACAGGGUUGUGGUUUCUACCAAGCCCUUCUAAGCGUAUUGUGUGUGUAAUGCGGAGGUUACCAAGCUCUGACUCAGCGACUGUUGUAUAUGUUAUAUAUAAAGUUUUGGAGUCUGCCGAGCUCCGACACAGUUUGUCUUGUGUAUGUCCCUAGUGGUCAGUGAAACACAUCUAUCACUAAGUUUCUUGUGUGUGUUCAAAGUUUUGGAGGCCAAAGAGCCCCAAUUCAAAAGGUGUAGGCACAAAAAGAGUCCUGACUCACCGUUUUGUGUGUGUUCGGAGUUGUGUUUCGCUUUUUUCCUCGUUUAGGUAGUAAGAACUGCUUCUAGAGUAGUUCUGAAGUUGUGCUGUUGAUGAUUAUUUGCUGUCAGCGUAUGCCGGUGAUUUGCAAGCUUGCAUACAAAAGAAUGCUGUUCUAUAUAGCUGUAAAUAAAAAUGCUUGUUCGAAAUAA